rnacentral:sRNA from 1 species
UUGUUCCCAAGCCUGAAGACCUU